rnacentral:tRNA from 1 species
CUCCCAAUAGCUCAGUUGGAAGAGCGUUCGGCUGUAAUUGUUCCAUGAUACCGAAAGGUCACCUGUUCGAACCAGGUUUGGGAGA